rnacentral:rRNA from 1 species
AUUGAACGCUGGCGGCAGGCCUAACACAUGCAAGUCGAACGAGUGGCGGACGGGUGAGUAAUGUCUGGGAAACUGCCCGAUGGAGGGGGAUAACUACUGGCAACUGUAGCUAAUACCGCAUACCAUCGGAUGUGCCCAGAUGGGUUUAGCUAGUAGGUGGGGUAACGGCUCACCUAGGCGACGAUCCCUAGCUGGGCUUAGAGGACGACCAGCCACACUGGAACUGAGACACGGGCCAGACUCCUACGGGAGGCAGCAGUGGGGAAUAUUGCACAAUGGGCGCAAGCCUGAUGCAGCCAUGCCGCGUGUAUGAAGAAGGCCUUCGGGUUGUAAAGUACUUUCAGCGGGGAGGCGUUACUCGCAGAAGAAGCACCGGCUAACUCCGUGCCAGCAGCCGCGGUAAUAC